CCUACGGGAGGCAGCAGUGGGGAAUCUUGCGCAAUGGGCGAAAGCCUGACGCAGCAACGCCGCGUGCGGGAUGAAGGCCUUCGGGCUGUAAACCGCUUUCAGCAGGAACGAAAAUGACGGUACCUGCAGAAGAAGGAGCGGCCAACUACGUGCCAGCAGCCGCGGUGACACGUAGGCUCCAAGCGUUGUCCGGAUUUAUUGGGCGUAAAGAGCUCGUAGGCGGUCUAGUAAGUCGGGUGUGAAAACUCUGGGCUCAACCCAGAGACGCCAUCCGAUACUGCUGUGACUUGAGUUCAGGAGGGGAGCGGGGAAUUCCUAGUGUAGCGGUGAAAUGCGCAGAUAUUAGGAGGAACACCGGUGGCGAAGGCGCCGCUCUGGACUGAAACUGACGCUGAGGAGCGAAAGCAUGGGUAGCAAACAGGAUUAGAUACCCUGGUAGUCCAUGCCGUAAACGGUGGGCACUAGGUGUGGGUUUCAACUAACGAAAUCCGCGCCGUCGCUAACGCAUUAAGUGCCCCGCCUGGGGAGUACGGUCGCAAGACUAAAACUUAAAUGAAUUGACGG
rnacentral:rRNA from 1 species